rnacentral:rRNA from 1 species
GAUAAACGCUGGCGGCGUGCCUAACACAUGCAAGUCGAACGAUCCCGCAAGGGAGAGUGGCGGAAGGGUGAGUAACACGUGGGAAUCUACCUCCUCGCAGGGAACAACCUCUCGAAAGAGAGGCUAAUACCCAAAAGGGUCAGAAAUGAUCAGAGUCGAAAGGCGUGAGGAGAGGAGCCCGCGGCCCAUCAGCUAGUUGGUGAGGUAAUGGCUUACCAAGGCUACGACGGGUAGGGGAUCUGAGAGGAUGUCCCCCACACUGGAACUGAAACACGGUCCAGACGCCUACGGGUGGCAGCAGUGAGGAAUAUUGGACAAUGGGGCGAAAGCCCGAUCCAGCAACGCCGCGUGGAGGAUGAAGGCCUUGGGUCGUAAACUUCUUUAGAGGGUGACGAGAAAGGACGGUAUCCCUAGAAUAAGCGACGGCAAACUACGUGCCAGCAGCGCGGUAA